AUUCCAGCUCCAAUAGCGGAUGAUGAUUCUGCUGCAGUUAAAAAGCUCGUAGUUGAACUUUGCUUUAAACGUUGUGAGGGUAUUUCUUUCAUUAGAUUUACCAUCUCCUUCUGUUUUGGCUUUUGAAGUUUUUUUUUUAAAAUUACUUCCAUUUACUGUGAGGAAAUCUGAGUGCUCAAAGCAUUUAUUUGAAUGAAAGUUUCAGCAUGGAAUGAUAAGAUACGACCUGGUUGAUCUUGUUGGUUUUUCGAUAAGGUAAUGGUUAACAGAAACAGUUGGGGCGAUUCGUAUUGGAGCGUCAGAGGUGAAAUUCUUGGACCGCUUCAAGACGAACAACAGCGAAAGCAUUCCGCAAGGAUGUUUUCAUCA
rnacentral:rRNA from 1 species